CUUUGAAAUAGAACUGAAUAGAUGUAAAUAAUUUAACUGUAUUCUUCUGAAUGCACGAGAUUAAAAUAUGCUUAUUUAUUUCUAAUUUGUACAAAUUAAAAAUUGCUCACUGAAUGUUCACCAGGUGCUGACUGUUUGAAGGUUGUCGACAUGGAAAUCAAAGGAACGACAGCUCUGCACUUCCACUUGUCAGGAUCCUGUCCAGCAUGAGUAGCAUCAGUACCAAUAUGGGGGAAUGGUUUGUAACUCUCCAUUGUAGUAUUACAAGAAAUAAUCUAACAGGAUUUGAUUAUCAACAACCACGUUUUGAGGUUCAAUGACCUUUACCUUUAGAAUGACUAUUCGUUGUUUUCGGUCAUAUGUGGUACAAGGGAGAGUACUCAGUUUUGGAGGUGUGUCUGGGGCACACCACAGGUUGAUCUAUAAUUUUUUUUGUGUACUUGUAUAAAUUUAAGUUUUUUGUAUGGUUGAAAAAAAUCUCUGCAAAGGUACCAGGAUUAUAAUUUAGUAUGCAAGAUGAGCGUUUCAUC
rnacentral:lncRNA from 1 species